CCUCAUUCUGAUGCUGAUAAUUAGUCUGCCUCACUGGGCACCUACCUGACUCCUAAAGGCAUCUAUCUGAGUCAGCAAACCUGUGUUAUCCUUUCACACUGCACAUUCGGAGGCAGUUCAAAACAUGACAGAAUGGUGGUAGUAUAUGUGUGCUUAAAAAGAGCCACAUUACAUGAACAAUCUCACACAAAAUAUGUGAGCAAAUAAAAUACAUUGAUGUAAACUCUGAACAUGUAUCAGCAAUUAUACUUUUAAGAACAUUGCUGAGGAACUCAUCAGAUCUAACAGUGAAUAUUUAAGUGCAAGGAUGUCAGGCAGAGCAUUUUAUGUAAUAGGAAUAGUCAAAUUACUAACCUAGGGCCCUGUGCCUUGUUUGGUAAAAAGUUUUAUGGGGACACAGACAUGUCCAUUUGACAGGGGACUCAAGAGUUAGAAAAUUUUAGUUUAAGGUAAAUAGUUAAUAGGUAAUAGUAAACUAGGCUUAGUAGGUAAUGCACAUGUUAAAGCCAUUGUUUCAGAAACUGCAGAUAGUUAAGCCCCA